rnacentral:rRNA from 1 species
CAGCAGCCGCGGUAAUACGUAGGUGGCAAGCGUUGUCCGGAAUUAUUGGGCGUAAAGCGCGCGCAGGCGGAUAGGUCAGUCUGUCUUAAAAGUUCGGGGCUUAACCCCGUGAUGAGAUGGAAACUGCCAAUCUAGAGUAUCGGAGAGGAAAGUGGAAUUCCUAGUGUAGCGGUGAAAUGCGUAGAUAUUAGGAAGAACACCAGUGGCGAAGGCGACUUUCUGGACGAAAACUGACGCUGAGGCGCGAAAGCCAGGGGAGCGAACGGGAUUAGAUACCCCUGUAGUCCCUGUCUCUUAUACC